CAUAGGUUUGGUCCCAGCCUUCCUGUUAACUCUUAAUAAACUUACACAUGCAAGCAUCUACACCCCAGUGAGAAUGCCCUCUAGGUUAUUAAAACUAAGAGGAGCUGGCAUCAAGCACACACCCUGUAGCUCACGACGCCUUGCUUAACCACACCCCCACGGGAAACAGCAGUGACAAAAAUUAAGCCAUAAACGAAAGUUUGACUAAGUUAUAUUAAUUAGGGUUGGUAAAUCUCGUGCCAGCCACCGCGGUCAUACGAUUAACCCAAGCUAACAGGAGUACGGCGUAAAACGUGUUAAAGCACCAUACCAAAUAGGGUUAAAUUCUAACUAAGCUGUAAAAAGCCAUGAUUAAAAUAAAAAUAAAUGACGAAAGUGACCCUACAAUAGCCGACGCACUAUAGCUAAGACCCAAACUGGGAUUAGAUACCCCACUAUGCUUAGCCCUAAACACAGAUAAUUACAUAAACAAAAUUAUUCGCCAGAGUACUACUAGCAACAGCUUAAAACUCAAAGGACUUGGCGGUGCUUUAUAUCCUUCUAGAGGAGCCUGUUCUAUAUAAUCACUAGUGAAU
rnacentral:rRNA from 1 species